CUACGGGGGGCUCCAGUGAGGAAUAUUGCACAAUGGGGGGAACCCUGAUGCAGCAACGCCGCGUGGAGGAUGACGCAUUUCGGUGUGUAAACUCCUUUUAUAUGUCAAGAAAAUGACGGUAGCAUAAGAAUAAGCACCGGCUAACUCCGUGCCAGCAGCCGCGGUGAAUACGGAGGGUGCAAGCGUUACUCGGAAUCACUGGGCGUAAAGGACGCGUAGGCGGGUUGGAAAGUCAGGUGUGAAAUCCUACAGCUUAACUGUAGAACUGCACUUGAAACUUCUAAUCUAGAGUAUGGGAGGGGGAGAUGGAAUUAGUGGUGUAGGGGUAAAAUCCGUAGAUAUCACUAGGAAUACCUAAAGCGAAGGCGAUCUCCUGGAACAUUACUGACGCUAAGGCGUGAAAGCGUGGGGAGCAAACAGGAUUAGAUACCCGCGUAGUC
rnacentral:rRNA from 1 species